rnacentral:rRNA from 1 species
GACGAACGCUGGCGGCGUGCUUAACACAUGCAAGUCGAACGGAAAGGCCCUGCUUUUGUGGGGUGCUCGAGUGGCGAACGGGUGAGUAACACGUGAGUAACCUGCCCUUGACUUUGGGAUAACUUCAGGAAACUGGGGCUAAUACCGGAUAGGAUCUCCUGCUGCAUGGUGGGGGUUGGAAAGUUUCGGCGGUUGGGGAUGGACUCGCGGCUUAUCAGCUUGUUGGUGGGGUAGUGGCUUACCAAGGCUGUGACGGGUAGCCGGCCUGAGAGGGUGACCGGCCACAUUGGGACUGAGAUACGGCCCAGACUCCUACGGGAGGCAGCAGUGGGGAAUAUUGCACAAUGGGCGGAAGCCUGAUGCAGCAACGCCGCGUGCGGGAUGACGGCCUUCGGGUUGUAAACCGCUUUCGCCUGUGACGAAGCGUGAGUGACGGUAAUGGGUAAAGAAGCACCGGCUAACUACGUG